rnacentral:rRNA from 1 species
AACGAACGCUGGCGGCAUGCCUAACACAUGCAAGUCGAACGAAGCCUUCGGGCUUAGUGGCGCACGGGUGCGUAACGCGUGGGAAUCUGCCUCUUGCUUCGGAAUAACAGUUAGAAAUGACUGCUAAUACCGGAUGAUGUCUUCGGACCAAAGAUUUAUCGGCAAGAGAUGAGCCCGCGUAGGAUUAGGUAGUUGGUGGGGUAAAGGCCUACCAAGCCGACGAUCCUUAGCUGGUCUGAGAGGAUGAUCAGCCACACUGGGACUGAGACACGGCCCAGACUCCUACGGGAGGCAGCAGUGGGGAAUAUUGGACAAUGGACGCAGGUCUGAUCCAGCAAUGCCGCGUGAGUGAUGAAGGCCUUAGGUUUGUAAAGCUCUUUUACCAGGGAUGAUAAUGACAGUACCUGGAGAAUAAGCUCCGGCUAACUCCGUGCCAGCCGCCGCCGUAACAC